CACCAAAGAAAAAAAAAGGGGGGGGGGGGAAGUCUCACAAUCCUGAAGGUUGGUGAGGAUGCUGAACAAGAGCUGUCAUACACAGCUAGCGGGAGAGUCAACUGCUCCAAACACUGUACUUUAGAAAACUCUCCGGCAGCAUCCACUAAAGCUGAACACACACCUAUGCUGUGGUGAGCAAUUCCAGUCCCAGGAAUCAACAGAAAGGUGUUCACAUCUGAACCAAAUGACAUGCAUGAGAACAAUUGUGGCAGCGUAAGUUGUGAGAGCCACAAAAUGAAACCAAGCCACAAGUCUCCCAGCAGACUGCAGAAAUAAAUGGUAGUGUAUUCACAAUAUGGAUAGUAAAUAGCAGUGAAGACAACAAGCCACACCUCAGGCAACAAUGUGGAUGAAUCUUGCAUACAAGACAGCACCCUAGUCUCCUCAUGGUUCCCCCAGGGGAUCUGCAGGACAUUCUAGGGACAAACUGUCCCAAAAAUUCAGUUAACACUGUGGUGCUGGAGUCAUUCCCCUCUAUAGAGCCAGGCUCCGCUCCAUACCCAGAUGUCGUAGGGGGUCAGAAAGGUGGUCCCUGAAGGAGUCUUGGGGUGAGAGGAGCCCUGUGAGAUCAAGGAACAGUGCAGGGUCUAGCAGGAGGUCCACGGCAUAGGAAUCAUAGCCCAGGUCGAGAUGGGGGAGGCCAGGCCUGGCUGUGGCUGGAGACGGUGAUUUCCGAUAGUGGGAGAGGUGGGAUGCAGAAGCCUGGGACCCCCAGGUAUGUGAUAAUAAGGGAAUGGGGACAUCUGGGAGAAUCUGAUCAGGUUUGGGGAGCUCAAUGCCCACCAGGAGUCUUUUUAGUCUCAACUAAACAUUCAGACUCACGACAGCCACAGGCUACAGGCCAGGGAAUAGAGCAAGGCAGCAGCACGCGACAGGCAAUCAUCACCAGUAGGAGCAGUCCACACGGCUGCCCUGGAGUUACUCUCCCUGCUUCUCCCUCCCCCCGCCCCCGACACCCCUAUGAUGGCUCGGGUGCAAGGGAACAGGACUCGCAUGUGUGGCUGUGGAUCCACCCUGGUUUACAAGCCCCGUGCCCCACAAGAGAUGACAGCUCUUGUCACAACCCAUAGCGUAGCUCUCAGGGUCCCCACAAGGAUCAUGCCCAGUCACAAGAAUCCCCACACCCAGGGAAGCCCAAAGCUGGGGUUCCUCUCCUGUAUUCAUGGCAGCCCUCCCAGCCCAGUUCACCAAUCAGGAGUCAUUUUUACCCUACGCAUGGUUGCUUGGUACCACAGCUGGCAGGCCAUGUUGAUCAGGUUUCCAGGGAAACAAGCUAGAACGUUAACCCAAGGUCAACUCUGUCCUUACUGAAGAAGAGAGGGUUUUGUUCAUCCUUUACCCCCAGCAUGGAAAACGAAGAGCUCACUUGUGGAUACAUGGCCUUUGAAACGCGGAUCUAGUUCCCGCGAACUGAAGGCUCUUCAUCCAAUACUCACUAUCAAAGGACCGGUAAAUAUCUUCUGGCUCACCCAGCUCUAUUUGUGGAACAUAACACCAACUUCUUGAAAGGAAAAUCCAGGAGCAGGCUCCUGGAAGGCAUUAGCGCUGUCUCUCCACUUGAGGAUUCUCCUGACAGUAACCCCGCCCAGCAAUUCCUCCGUGGUUGGUGGAAUCAGUUGUACUAAAUGAGAUUCUGAAGUUCGAGGGAGACAGGUGUGGUUGGAAUUUAGACCAGGCCUCCUAGGUCUAUCGUCACAGACAAGUGUUGCUUCUUCCAUUAAACACUUUCGAUCUGUAAAGUACACCUGCAACCCUCAGCCUCUACAAACAGAAGAAUGCUCGUGUGUGCUUUACUGGAGGGAAACGAUAAGAGGAAGAGUCAAACGUGUGCUGUAAGCUGAUGAGCUGCCCAAAAGUCACACUAAGAGAGCUAGCUGUGUGGACGUGAGUCCCCAUGUCCGGGAAGACAGGCCUUUAAAUGACCUUACUAUUGAGUAAACUGAGGCAGGUCAGGCCUAGGUGGAUACGGAGAGGGGCCAGGAGACAGAAAGAAGGAAGCGCUCUGUAUCCGAAUUGCAUAUGAGUGGCUUUGAUCAUGGGCUCCUAAGGAGGGAAGGCACUUGAGUGUUACCCUAUGUCAUAGUCAAGGGGAUUCUGACCACCACCGAGGCGGUCCAGGCCCACCUCCCCUGAGCCACCAGGUCGUCCUCUGAACUUCCCCUCCAGCGCCAGGUUCCUCCCACAUCCCCGAUGUUUCUCUCAGCUCAUCUUCACCAACAAAAGAGGAGACAUGAAGGGCCAUGGAAUGUACAUUAUUCAUUCUUUUUAAGCAUGAACAGAAGUGCAGCUGGAAAUUGGAGGCCUCAGGCAAACACAAGAGAGGGACCCGACUCUGUGAGGAGAGCUGCUCACUCACUGCUACUCUGCAACGCAAUGUGGGCUGCGUGGGUGCACGUGCCCCGACGUGGGCUCAAGAAAGCGUCGCUUCCUGUGGUACAUUGUGUGACAGGGCAGAAAACCUGGACUUUGGAGUCAGAAAGAGCCACAUCCUAAUUGCUAACUGUGGCUUUGGGCAACUUCUAACUCUGAGCCUACACAAGCUGCUGGAGGAUUUGGUGGGGUAUUAUAAGUCCUUCUGGUAGAUAUUCUGUAAAUGUUUGUGUGGUCUUUCCUCUAUCUGGAGCACACCUUGCUUUGUGUUUUUUAUCUUUCUGCAGAAUUCUGAGCCCCAUAAAGACACUUUCUAGGAAAGCUAAUGACAGACUGUCACUAAGCAAGUGACUCUUGCAGGUCCAGAGGCUAUUGUGGAACAGCACAUAGUUAAGCACCUCCAAGUCUUGAGAACAAAGUUGCCCCUGGUGUACUCAGCUCUGGGAGCUCAUGUGUGUGUCUGUGAGGCCGGGCUUUGGGCUCCUCCUCACGUUUAUCUCAUUCCAGAAAGCCAAACACAACUAGCCGAACACGCCAAUGGGUCCAGAGUGCAGCCCCAGGUCUUCUGAGUAGCACAGAAGGGGAGAAUCUGUCCAGGUUGUUGGUGCCUACAGCCCCAGGCUACAGAGAUAUCACAGAGGUAUCUGCCCCAGGGGCUAAGGAACCAUUGGCGCCAUUUCUCUGGCUGCCCAGACACUUGGCCUUCCUGGGAACUGGCUGUUUGUGCAUCAGGUCUGAUCUAGCCCACUGUUUUAGAAUGGAAGAGCUCAGUCUUGGGAAAGCAAGAACCGAUGCUGUCGAAGCCUGGGUGUGUGGGUGGCAGGGGAGAGGGCAUCAGUACUUACUGUGAUGGUGUGUAUUUGGACUGCCCUCUGCAGCCACCUCACACCUGCCUGGCAGCUACUGGAGCCCCCAGGGAUGUUCUGAACCUGACUCACUCUCCUGAAGCACUAAUACAAUAGCUCACCCAGAGCUAGUCUCUCCGGAACCACUGGGAUCCCUUGCUUCCCCUAUUCUCCUGUCUCCAAUGUCCUCUCCUCCCUGCCUUACCCAUUAUUCCCACAAAACAAAAUCCUUCAGAUUCCACUGCCUUAGGAAGUCUCCCUAAUUACUGUCCUCCAUUGUGUCACGGAAACACAUUAAUCUCUUAUCCUUAUACACUGUCAACUUCUUGGGGGUGGAGAUAAGUCCUAUCUAUCUAUCUAUCUAUCUACCUACCUACCUACCUAUCUAUCUAAAGUACCCACAAGUCUGAGCAUUGGACUUUGCAUUACCCUGGACAAAUAAAUAAACAAAGGGCCAAUGCCAGGUCAACGGUAAUGAACUCACAGUCUUCCACACUCCUUUGGGAGACCCUGAACUAAACGAAUGCUAUCAGGUGUUCAAAGCAGUGCAAUUAAUUGGUUCCAGUCUCCUGAUCACAACGGAGAAUUUCCCCAAAGCCAAUCUUGAGGCAUGGGGCCUCUUCCAGGCAGACCUGGGAAUUGACUACUCUCCAAAAUUCCUGAUCGCUCUCAAGGAGGUGAGCAUCCAGCUCUCUUCCUGAUGACAUAAAGGAAGGGAAUCAUUCCAUUUCUGUUCUUAAGGGAGCUAUAGGCAACAGUGAAGCAUGCAGGAGAAGUGGAAUGCAGAAGGUGAGGUGGGCUGGUGGGGAACAGCAGCCAGGCCAGCCCUGUCUUAGACAGGGAGAAACAGAAGCAGACCCAGAGCGGGGCCUCGUGGGUGCAAAAGAGAGGUGAGACGAGACUUGAAGUCUCCAGACUCCAAGUCAUCGACCCCACUGACAAGGUGCCAAGAGAAGCAAAGCCAGAGAACCCAAAUGGAGGCAGCUUAUUUCAUCAGCAUCCAGUUGGUUAAAAAUAACUUCACUUAUUAGUUUAAGUGAGAUCACCACAGGGCUGGAAAUUCACUGUCAGUGAAACAAAAAUACUAGAAGGAAAUGGAGAAAAGUCUACAGUCAUGAUGAACUUUAUUUCAAAAAAGAAACACAGGAGGAAGCUGCCUGAACAUUCCACAGGCUCUAUUUUCCUUCUGUGCUCAUUAUGAGGACAUGUCCGCCAUUUUGGGAGUUAGCACUCUUCAUUCUUCCUUUCUUACCAAAGAGAAGCAGCAGCACAGAGCUAAGCGCCAUGAAGCAUCAUCGGAAAAAGGGCAACCUUUGGAAAUGAUACUGCACUGGGGCGUAUGCUGAACCAGACCUCAGCUACACUCUGCAGGAACCCAAGGAACUGCUUGCUCUCUUGGGCUUUGCUAAGUCGCUGCACCUUCCUUCAGCACACAGGUUUCCUUUGUUGACUGCGCUGUCAACAAAGGCUCCACUGAGCAGGGCGGAGGGCCCUGUGGGAGCAGUUUACAUGCUCUUUCUAAAGGAUGAAAGGCAGAAGAACAGGGACAGAGCUCUCUCUGAGUUGAGGAAUCUGUCCUGCUUUUCUAGAAAGCCCAAGAGAGAGGAGCCCUCAGCAUGCAUUCCUGAGUCUCCUUCAUGCCCACCUGAAGCCUCCUCACAAAUAAGGCUCGGAGGACCAAGACUCCAGUCUUCUCCACAUAAGCCCCUCCCUGUUGACCUGGAGGCGAGGGGAGGCCAGGCUAGGCUCAGGCAAGCUGCUCUGGGAUGCAGAGCCCUUGAGCACUUUGACUCUGAGAAACCACACACAGUGCCCGCUCGCUAAAAUGGUAUCAGUCUUCACAGGAGUUGACAGGCAUCAUGAAUUUGCUUCACAGGUUGGCUCCCCAUGGCUCACAGUUUUUUCUGUUUCUUAGGGUUUGAUUUUUUUUUUGUCUUUGUUUUGGAGGACUAUGUAGACCAUUUUACUUUUUAUUGAACUUUUUUGUUUUUAUAUAAUUUCGAAGUUAUAGAAAAAUGGUAAGAAUAAGGAACUCCCAUAAUACCCUUUAUCCAGAUUUACCAAUGUAUUUUCAUUUUGCCCCAUGUGCUUUAUCAUUCUCCUCUCUCUCUAGAUAUAGAU